AUUGAACUCUGUCGGCAGGCCUAACACAUGCAAGUCGAACGUGUGGCGGACUGGUGAGUAAUGUCUGGGAAACUGCCUGAUGGAGGGGGAUAACUACUGUAAACGGUAGCUAAUACCGCAUACCAUCAUAUGUGCCCAGAUGGGAUUAGCUUGUUGGUGGGGUAAAGGCUCACCAAGGCGACGAUCCCUAUCUGGUCUGAGAGGAUGACCAGCCACACUGGAACUAGUACACGGUCCGGAGUCCUACGGGAGGCAGAAGGGGGGAAUAGUGCAGAAUGGGCGCAAGUCUGAUGAAGGCAUACCGCUUGAAUGAAGAAGGCCUUCGAGUUGUAAAGUACUUUCAGCGGGGGGGCGUUGCCCGCAGAAGAAGCACCGGCUAACUCCGUGCCAGAAGACGAGGUAAUAG
rnacentral:rRNA from 1 species